rnacentral:misc_RNA from 1 species
GGUUGGAUCCCUGCAUUGAGCGGCGACGUCCUACCUUGCUAUCCUCUUCAUUGUUGGCACAAUUUAUAUUGGCCGUUUUUCGGUUUCCUGUGUUUCGUACCUACUCGAUGGAAUUUCGGUUGUCAAUCUCUAGCUGUUCGCCUUAGGCUGCCCGUUAACUCGGAGCGGCUGCGGGUGAAACUCGAAACGGGAUUUGUGUCCCACGUUCUGCAUUUUUCUUGUCGGUUUCGUGGUCCAUGAAUUCUCGCUCGGGCGCUGGGAUGCAGAAAACGAAGAGGGCACGGAGUCAACGGCUCCUAUUUGUCCACAAAAAGGCUUCAAAGCCAAUUUCGAACGACUUCGGUUCUGUACUGGCCACGAGCCAUGCGGAUCGUUGUCCGUGAGGAAUGCUAC